UCCCAGCGCCGGCGCCAGGGGCACCCGGGACACGCCCCCUCCCGCCGCGCCAUUGGCCUCUCCGCCCACCGCCCCGCACCCAUUGGCCCACUCGCCGCCAAUCAGCGGAAGCCGCCCGGGCCGCCUAGAGAAGAGGCUGUGCUCUGGGGCUCCGGCUCCUCAGAGAGCCUCGGCUAGGUUGCUCCUUGCGGGCAGGACAGUUCUUAUGGCUUUAUCCGUUGCCUAAGCACAGAGAGGUCUGCGAGAUCAAAACUAUUGUCAUGAUAGCAAGAUGCCUGCCUUUUUCAUUUAUUCUGACAGUGUACAGAGGCUGCAUGAUGUGUGAUGACAUCCUCAUUGAUGUUAAUGAAUGGUGCUGUACUUGAAAUUUCUAAGGUGGUGUUAGGUUUAGGUAUGUAUACUUGUUUUUAGAAAUUGUUUUUUUCCCCUUUUCCCAUUUUUAGAAAUCAACUCACUUUUUAGGUUAUGCCUUCAGUAAUCUUUGCAACCUCAAUAUUCUACAAUUGUUAUUUUAAAAUACUGUAGUUUUCUUUGUGCCUAAGCAUAAACAUAAGUACAUUUUGUUGUUUGUUUUGUUUGCAAUAGUGGUUUAAAUAUUUUCCCAGAAUAUCCAAAUUUAAAAAUUUUACAACUUUAGAAUAACUUUAUUCUAAAAUAUUUAUAUUUUUCUCAUUUAAGAAGGGAUCGAUGGCUUAAAAAGACUGCUUCUCAUUUACUUAUCGGCUAUACCAUCUGUAUACUAAUAAAAAACAAGAUUGAUUUGGAAGGACUGACUCAAACUAAUGAAAAUAUGAAACCUGUCAUUCUACUUUGGAGAUACUUACCUUAUCAUGUCUGCAGUAGAAUAAUUUAGUUCUUUUGUCUUUUUUUGGAGAUGAGGUCUUGCUGUGUUGCCCAGGCUGUUCACAGGUACCAUCAUAGUCUACAGCCUGAAACUUCUGGGUUCAAGCGAUAUUCCUGCCUCAGCCUCCUGAAUAGCUGGAGCUAUAGGCAUGUACCACCAAGUCUGGGCUUUAAAAAAUAUUUUUUACAUAAUUUUUUUUGAGACAGGAUCUUGCCAUGUUGGGCUAGUCUUCAACUCCUAGCCCUGAGUGAUCCUGCCUCCCAAAAUGUCGAGUUGUUAAGCGUGAGCCGCCAUACCCGGCCAAAAAUUUUUUUAGAGAUGGGAAUGGAAUGAUUCUGAAUAGUGUUGGUGCCACCUAUGUUGUGGCAUCAUUUUGAAACUAAUCAUUCAGAGUGUUGUUUUUUUUUUUUUUGGUAAGGUAUUAUUUUUUAAUGCAGGUAUGCCACUACUAUAAAAAAAAAAAGUUUUAAAGCUAGAAAUGAAAACACUACUUAAGUAUCUGUUACUUUGUUAUACUCUAGAAACAUACACAAUAGCUGAGAAACUUUAAAAAUCUCACAUUGCUGAAUGUCUCUGCUGGCUGAAGUGUAAGUAAAAGAUCACAGUAGUGCCACUGUUGAGUGGUACAGCAACUUGUCAUUAAAGAUGUGUGUGCAGACAUGAAUUCUGAGUUAAUAUCUCAUCUGUAGAAGUAUACAUUUGUCCCUUGCCUUGGGAUUGGUUUCAGGACACCACUCCCCCACCCUUGCUGGCCAUUCACCGAGGACACCAAAACCCAAGGAUGUUGAAGUCCCUUAUAUAAAAUGGCGCUGUAUCUCCAUACAACUUACACACAUCCUCCCAUAUACUUUAAAUCAUUUCCAGAUUUUUGAUACUUUCAUACAAUGUGAAUGCUAUGUAAAUAGUUGUUACAUUGUGUAUUUAUAUUUGUACUAUUGUAUUAAAUAUUCUCAAAUAUUUUCAAA